UACGGAGGGUGCAAGCGUUAUCCGGAUUCACUGGGUUUAAAGGGUGCGUAGGUGGGCAGGUAAGUCAGUGGUGAAAUCUCCGAGCUUAACUCGGAACUGCCGUUGAUACUAUUUGUCUUGAAUAUUGUGGAGGUAAGCGGAAUAUGUCAUGUAGCGGUGAAAUGCUUAGAUAUGACACAGAACACCGAUUGCGAAGGCAGCUCACAAAACUAUAACUGACGCUGAGGCACGAAAGCGUGGGGAUCAAACAGG
rnacentral:rRNA from 1 species